rnacentral:tRNA from 1 species
UGGAGCGUCGCCAAGUGGUAAGGAAGUGGGUUCUGGUACCACCAUUCGAGGGUUCGAAUCCUUCCGCUCCAGCCA